GAUGAAGAACGUAGCGAAAUGCGAUACUUGGUGUGAAUUGCAGAAUCCCGUGAACCAUCGAGUCUUUGAACGCAAGUUGCGCCCGAAGCCAUUAGGCCGAGGGCACGCCUGCCUGGGCGUCACACGUCGUUGCCCCCCCAUCUACUCCUUCGGGAUUGCGGGGGGCGGAUGAUGGCCUCCCGUGCGCCUAGUCGCGCGGUUAGCAUAAAAGCCAAGUCCUCGGCGACGCACGCCACGACAAUCGGUGGUUGCGAAACCUCGGUUGCCCGUCGUGUGCGGUCGUCGCGCAUCGAGGGCUCGAAAAAAUUGCCGGGCUCCGGCUCGGCUUUCAACGCGACCCCAGGUCAGGCGGGGUUACCCGCUGAAUUUAAGCAUAUCAAUAAGCGGAGGA
rnacentral:misc_RNA from 1 species